rnacentral:lncRNA from 1 species
CAUGAACACAACAUAUUGAUUCCUGUCAAUCAUGAAGUACUACUACUUUCACUUUUCAUUUCUUCUUCUCAUUCAUGCAUAUUUGUGUCUUCUGUACUCCAACUUUUCUUUACUUAUGCUUUAUGCUUGGGAGUUUGUGUUGCUUUUUAGCAACUUUAAUUAGAUCAUUGUAUUUGUUUGAAGGUGUUUGCACUUGUUCCUCUUUUUCAGUUCCACAGCAUCCCUUUCUCUUUUGUCUUUCCUGCUCAAUAUCUCUCUCUUCAUCCCAUAGUGGGCAAUUUGUAAGCAGUACAUGUUUUCAUCGAAAGCGAUGAUAUAUAUCAAUGA